AAACCAUGGUGUGGGCAUUGAGCUUGGUAGCCCCUGAAUCUCUCCCAGGCUUCACUGAAGCCUUCCAAGUUCUUCUGUUGAAAGCUGGAAAUCUCAUUUCUCAGCUU
rfam:Brassica oleracea var. oleracea cultivar TO1000 chromosome C3, whole genome shotgun sequence